AAAAAAAAAAGGCAUCAAGUGAUCAUUAACAGAGUCGCAUUCAAUUUGAGUAUCAUUCAAUAAAAUGAGAAUAGAAAACUUUAGUCCAUCGUAUUACUAGAUCCAAACAAUAAACAAAGAAAGUACUACAGGUUCUUUCAAAUAAACGCACCUGUAGCCAAAGCCCUGGAAAAAGAAUCCCAGAAGCACCACCACAACUGCUAAAACCCAAAGCAAAAGCAUGUUAUGUAUUUUUACUGAUCUUUCCAGGAAGUGAAAUAAAUACUUAAUAUGUUACGGAUGCAAAUUCAUAAAAAUAACUGCUAUUAAAUGAUCUCUCCAAUUGUAGCAAGAACAUUCCUGAACCUUUCUAUGGAGCAGCCGGUGGAAUCCUACUGCAAGCAGUCUAUCAUUGUUUCUUGGCAUUCCAACGGAGCUUCAUAUUUUGGACCAUACGCCAAGCUCUUAAUGUAUACUUAAAAGUGAGAAGCACCAGAUCUCUAAUCUGAUAAACUUGGCCUCAGCCUCCGGGAUUGUACAGCCCUUCCUUGCAAGUUGCAACGUGUUUGGAAAAGGUAAUCCUGUCACACUUCUUACCAUUCACUAAUAUGGGACCAUCAAAUUUGCAACUUCAACAUUUUUCUUUGCUUCGCAAAGGGAGUAGUAUCCACAUGGUGUGUCUGUCUUCUUCAAGAGUCAAGACUUAUUUCCAAUUUAUUGACCUGAAUCAAUUCUAUCAAAAGAAUGCGAUUGAUGCACGCAGACAUUUUUUUUAUCAGCACGCAUGCAGACAUUGUACCUUGUUAUUCUGCCCUAUGAAUUUUCAUUCUGGUUUCUAUGAUUCUAUCUACCUCAUAAUUUAUGUGUUUGGCUUUUUCAUAAAACAUAAAGGUAAUGAUAACGCAGCCAGAGUGCCAGACUAUCAUCAAGCAAAAAGUAAGCAGAUAUAUACACAAAUGAAAUGGCCAAAAAGAGAGUGCAAACAUGUGAGCGAGGAAAAAAGUACCCAGAAAAGUAUUUUAUUGCAAGGAAAUAAUGGCAAGGCAUCAAUUGAGGCAUUUCUGUUAGUUGCCUCUUUAUCUUCACGAUCUAUUGAUGUGUUUGGUACAAUAGUAAUUGGAAUAUCAGUAAAGUUGAAUGUAAAGCUUCAUGCAGGUAUAUUCUCAACCUAAUAUCAAUCACUUGCUCUGAUGAACUGAAAGAGGAAAAAAGACUAGAGCUAAACCUAACUGAGCAUGGUUCUUAGCAACUGGAGGAAACUCUUGCAAGCAACAACUAGUGUAGGCAAAAUUCAGUGAACACAGGCAACCUCUUUCUUAUUCUUGGACCAUGAAGAACACUAUGAAUAUAGGCAUCAACAUCUUUUCUGGGUGAUGAGUAUUUGUCAAUUUCACCUGGCAAGGCAACUUCAAUGUCAUCAUCCAAGGGCGACCAGUCUUGAGGUUUGACACUGGCGGUGGGGGUUUUGAUGUAGACUUCUGGUUUGGUGCAGUGCAUAGGUGUGAUGAUUGGGCUGGUGUUCUUGCUGAAGUAUACAGAUUGUAUGGUGAUGACAGGGCUCUUGUUCUUGUAAUCAGGUUUGGAAACAGAGGCCGUUUGGCUUGCUGCCACUACUGCUUCAGCCAUGAGGAAACGCGACUUCUGGCCAUAAGAAUAUGAUGCGGCUGAAUGCGACUUGAAAGUAUGUGUUUCUGCUUCGUUCUUCAUGGGGUAACAAGUCGGACGAAGCUCUUCUUUUCCAUGCACAAACUGGCAUUUGGAGCCAUAUCGGCAGUGUCCAAAAUCCUCCCAAGAACGACAAAGCUCCGUUUUAUACACUCGAAUUUGGGGAGAAGAAGAAGAAUUUGAUGGCGAAUCACUCGAAUUCGACGACAGAGACCUUAAAACCUUACCUCCAGACAAGGAAUCCACCAAAAUCUCAUCCAUGACCAGCACUUCAUCAUCCACAACCUUAACAGGGGUCCCAUACACCGGCGAUGACAUCACAUUUUCAAUUGACGACAACGGCGACAAGGACCUCCCAAAGUUGCUGCUGUUGGCGGUGAUCGCCCGAGAAGAGAAGGCGUCAUUGGUGGCGUUGCAAGCAGAGGAUGAUAUCCGAGAUCCACCGCAAAGGUAUCUGAUGAGCGUGGAGUCGGAGUUGAGCAGGGUGUUGAGAGGGGAAACGCUGCCGUUUGAGGAUUUGAGUUUGGGCAUUUGUUUUGAGCUGUGUAGGGCAUCCAUGGCUUCCGCGAUUUGGAGAUUGUUUUUG
rnacentral:misc_RNA from 1 species